rnacentral:rRNA from 1 species
AAUUCAGAAGUUGAUCAUGGUUCAGAACACGCUGGGGCGGCCAGCGUAUCACGUGCAAGUCGAACGGACCGUACACGCAGCUUGUCUCCUGUAUGGUUAGUGGCAGACGGGUGAGUAAUGCAUAGGAUUCUCUCUAGUAGUAUAGGAUAGCCACUAGAAAUGGUGGGUAAUACUGUAUAAUCCCUGCGGGGGAAAGAUUUAUCGCUACUAGAUGAGCCUAUGUCAGAUUAGCUAGUUGGUGGGGUAAUGGCCCACCAAGGCUGUGAUCUGUAGCUGGUCUGAGAGGAUGAUCAGCCACACUGGAACUGAGACACGGUCCAGACUCCUACGGGAGGCAGCAGUGGGGAAUAUUGGACAAUGGGCGCAAGCCUGAUCCAGCUAUGCCGCGUGAGUGAGGAAGGCCUUAGGGUUGUAAAACUCUUUCAGUAGGGUAGAUAAU